UGGGGAAUUUUGGACAAUGGGCGAAAGCCCUGAUCCAGCAAUGCCGCGUGUGUGAAGAAGGCCUUCGGGUUGUAAAGCACUUUUGUCCGGAAAGAAAUCCUUGGCUCUAAUACAGUCGGGGGAUACGGUACCGGAAGAAUAAGCACCGGCUAACUACGUGCCAGCAGCCGCGGUAAUACGUAGGGUGCAAGCGUUAAUCGGAAUUACUGGGCGUAAAAGCGUGCGCAGGCGGUUUGCUAAGACCGAUGUGAAAAUCCCCGGGCUCAAACCCUGGGGAAACUGCAUUGGUGACUGGCAGGCUAGAGUAUGGCAGAGGGGGGUAGAAUUCCACGUGUAGCAGUGAAAAUGCGUAGAGAUGUGGAGGAAUACCGAUGGCGAAAGGCAGCCCCCCUGGGCCAAUACUGACGCUCAUGCAC
rnacentral:rRNA from 1 species